rnacentral:rRNA from 1 species
AUUGAACGCUGGCGGAAUGCUUUACACAUGCAAGUCGAACGGCAGCACGGACUUCGGUCUGGUGGCGAGUGGCGAACGGGUGAGUAACAUAUCGGAACGUAUCCAAUAAUGGGGGAUAACUAAUCGAAAGGUUGGCUAAUACCGCAUACGCCCUAUGGGGGAAAGCUAGGGACCUUCGGGCCUGGCGUUAAUGGAGCGGCCGAUAUCUGAUUAGCUAGUUGGUGGGGUAAAGGCCCACCAAGGCGACGAUCAGUAGCUGGUCUGAGGGGACGACCAGCCACACUGGAACUGAGACACGGUCCAGACUCCUACGGGAGGCAGCAGUGGGGAAUUUUGGACAAUGGGCGCAAGCCUGAUCCAGCCAUUCCGCAUGAGUGAAGAAGGCCUUCGGGUUGCAAAGCUCUUUCGCAAGGGAAGAAAACUUAGCCACUAACAUUGGCUGAGGUUGACGGUACCUUGAUAAGAAGCACCGGCUAACUACGUGCCAGCAGCCGCCGUAA